UUAAGUAUUUUUAUUGAAAUGAUAUGAUUUUUGCAGGAGAUAGUAGGUUUUAUAAUUCUAUACUUUAUCAAAAAUUUGUUAAUAAAUGCUAUUCUUAAUAAUUGAUACUAUUCAUUUUUUUGUAUUUAUAGAAAAAUGUAAGUGUAUAUCAAAAUGAAUUUAAUAUUACUCGUAUUUUAGAAGCUAAUAAAUAAUACAUUUAUAUUUCAAACAGAUAACGGUAAAUAUGGAUUUUAAAUAUUUUUAAUGAGAUCUAUGACUUUCGCGAGUUUUAUUCAUUUAAAUGAAAGUAAUGUUUUUCUGAUACACUACGCCGGCUUUAUACGUGCGGAAGCCAUCUCGUCUGCUAGUGAUCGCGGUUGCUGAAAAGUAACCUACACGUCGGGAGUAUGUAGUUUUGUAUAAAAAUAAAGCACGCGUAGUGUAGUGUAUCCGAAAAAUAUUAGUUUCAUUUAAAUUUAAUUUUUUUUCUGACAUAAUACAGGUUCUAAUGUUAACAAUUUUGUAUAUAAAAUUUCAGAUGCCAGUAAGUUAUUUUUUUGUUUUAAAAAAAAAAUAUAUUAAAUCAUUAAUUCAUUUGAAUGAUUUAUAUUAAAAAAAUUCAUGUAAGAUUUUUGAACAAUUAAUUCUGAAUAUAUUUUUUUGAAUACCCUUUUAGGGUGGUGGAGUAAGUAUGACAUUAUACCUGUCUGUCACAGACUCUUAAAAUACGAGUUGAAUUUCAAUUUUAUUAACAAUUAAAUUUUUGUUCCUCUAGAUCUUUGUGAGUACCACUUUUACUUCAUAAUUGCGUUUAUUACGAAAAACUUUCCUUAUUUACACGAUAAGAAACUUGGACGUAAAAUUUUUGAAUCUCAAUUAGUUAGAAUUAAAUUAAAAAUUAAAAAAUCUCUAUUAUACAUACAUAUAUUUUUUUUUAACCAAAUAAUAUAAAAUUCAUAUUCCCUUCAGAAUCUCGUGGUAAGAAAAUUUCUAAUGCUUUGAAAUUUAUUACAUCAAAUAAAUACCUUAUUAAAAGCAUUAUGUUGCUUUAAUUUUGAAAUUAAAAAUUUACAGACUGAGGUAUGUUUUAUAUAUUAUUAUUAUUUUAUUUUAAUAAUAAUAAUAAUAAUAAAAAAAUUAAUUAAUUUUCAGGAAUGGGUAGGUAAUUCUAUUUUCAUAUUUUUGUGUAAUUUGACAUUUAUUAAUUUUUAUUUUUUAUUUGGUCACAGCAAACGUAUUACGUGAGUAAUUUUUUAAUAUAAUAUUAUAAGACAAAUAUUGUAACAUAUUUUUAUUAUUUUUUUUGUACCCAUUCCGCUUUUCAGACUCAUGUAAGUAAAUUUAGACACUAGAAUAUUAAAAUGUAAAAAAAAUAUAUUAUUUUAAUUAAAUUUUAUUUCGUUCUCAACAUUUAGCCACCUGUCGUAAGUAUUUUUAUUAUGACUUGAAAUGCUCGGGGAACAAAGACGUUUAUUUCCUUUGUAAAUUGAAAAGACAACAUUGAGAACAUAGUUCAAAUUAAUAAAAUAUUAAAUCCACAACAAGAGCCUUUAAAGAGAAACUAUACUUACUUUACCAACUUCUAUAUUUUAAAGAGAUUAUUUUAAAUGAUUACUAUAUAAUAUUUAUUAAAAUAAAAACAGUCAACCUAUUAAUAUGCAAAAAUUAACAUUACAGAUUGUAAGUAUUAAAAAAUUAUUAUAUUUAAAUAAAAACAAAGUAAAAUAUAUACAUAUGUUAAUAUUAAAAACAUCUUAUUACAAAUAUUUGAAUUUUUAGCCCGGAGUAAGUAUUUUCCAGAGUACAACGUAUUAUCAUAUGAGCGUAAUAUGAUUUAAAGACCCAAUUUUAUUCCUCUAAACAAAAAUUCGUUUACGAUUUAAAUAUGUUUUUUUGUGCUAAUUAAAAAUGUCAAAAAAUAUCGCCGAAUGACAUUGGACGGGAUAUUCAAAGGCGCCUGACAACGACAUUGAAAGCAUAAGAAAGCUUUUUAUGCGCACUCCGGUUUCCCAUCAAAGCGUUUAAAUCUUUCGUCUUUCACCAAAGCUUUUUACGUCGUUGUAAUCUAAUUUUGUCAUUUUUAGUGUCAAUGCGUCACAAGGGGCCCGUUGUCAAGAUUUAAGCUAAUAGGCAAUAUACAUUUCCCGAAAAUAAAGGUGACUCCCGAGCGCUACGUAACAGUGCCUACGGAGCCAUCGUCGACAAUUUGCCCGCCGUGUGACUGCCCGACGUGUCCCAUUAACAACGAAAUGGAAUUAAAAUGAAAUAUGUCAUAGAAAAACUUCUAAUUUCUAAUUAUCUAUAAUAAUUUAAUUCAUCUAUAGUCACGAAAAAGUUAUGUUUGUACGUUAAGAUAUGUAUGUAUAUAUAAAUUUACAAGACGAUGAAUGCAAUUAAAAUAAAAAAAAAUUGAUGGUUAAAUAAUAAAUUACUAUGGAAAUUGUAGAAGCCCAAAAACCUGGUGAUGUAAAAAAUAUUUUUGUAAGUUAAAAUCAAGUUUCAUUUAAAAUAAACAGUUUGAAUUGUU